rnacentral:SRP_RNA from 1 species
GACGGGAGCGGUGGCGUGUACCUGUAGUCCCAGCUACUCGGGAGGCUCAGGCUGGAGGAUCUCUUGAGCCCAGGAGUUCUGGGCUGUAGUGCGCUAUGCCAAUCGGGGGUCCACAUGAAGUCUGGCAUCAAUAUGGUGACCUCCCGGGAGUCGGGGACCACCAGGUUGCCUAAGGAGGGGUGAACCAGCCCAGGUUGAAAACGGAUCAGGUCAAAACUCCCCUGCUGAUCAGUAGUGACAUCCUGCCUGUGAAUAGCCACUGCACUCCAGCCUGGGCAACAUAGUGAGACCCCGUCUCU